rnacentral:rRNA from 1 species
GACGUAGGGGGCCAGCGUUGCUCGGAAUUACUGGGCGUAAAGGGUCCGUAGGCGGUGCGGUAAGUCGGGUGUGAAAUCUCUGGGCUUAACUCAGAGGCUGCUUCCGAAACUACCGUGCUAGAGUGCGAGAGAGGCAAGUGGAAUUGCGGGUGUAGCGGUGAAAUGCGUAGAUAUCCGCAGGAACAUCCGAGGCGAAAGCGGCUUGCUGGAUCGCAACUGACGCUGAGGGACGAAAGCUAGGGGAGCAAACAGG